AUAUGAUACUGCAGAAUUGAGCCGCAUGAAGGAAAAAUGGUUUUGUGAACUGUGAAAAUCUGAAGCUGAUCUGCAAGGGAAAAGAGGAAUUCUGAUUCAUUAUUUAAAUCAAGACUAGCUCCUCUACAUGUGGAUUCUCUGUGAUGCUUUCUAGUCUUGCAGGUAAUUUUAGCAAAUGUGUCAAAUUUGCAAUUCUGUUGUGCAGGGGUUGAAAGCUGUGAGGGGAGAAAGAGCCAGGGGAAUGAGGAAGAAGGAGAAGAAGAUGAGACAAUAACAGAGACAAUGGGCUUGAAGGGAUGAAGAUAGAACUGACCUGGAAGCUUCCUGCCUGAGGACUGUCUCUCAUGGUUUCUGAAGGGAAGUACAGAGCUUACUUGCAGCAGCCAGACACUAUUACAGGAAUCUAUGGCUUGUAAAAAUGCUGCAUAAAGUAAGUGACUGUGGAGUGCCCAAUCCCAACUGAUGCCUACGAUGCAGCCCCUACAGCUAAUGCUCAGGGAAAAUCAUGGAAGAGGGGGUGAAAAGAUUGUCAGAGCCAGAAGACCUGGACACUUUUUGCUUGAUGUUGUACUCCAGACAUAACAAGGAAGCUGCAUCCAUGAAAUCUCAACUAUGUGAAGGCCUAAAUAAGACUUGCAUAAAGAUAAUACUAGUUGACAUAACAAUAUGGAUGGGGAAAUGUUUCAUAAUGACCCACAACUAGACAAAGAGCUACAAUCAAUCAAUGGCUCCUGAGUGAUAGGAAUCAGUUUUUUUUUGUUUUUUUUUUUUUUUUACAGGGAUGAGUGCCAUGAUAAAGCACAAUUGGUCAGUCCCAAACACAUGAGCACACAAGCAACACUAAAUUGGUUUUAUGCCUAUCCAUACAGUUAUAGAUAAAUAUAGAAAUGUAGCAUAAUAAUUAAAGAUGUCAUGAAGUUGAGAGGAAGUAUGUGGAGGGUAUGGAAGAGCUGGAGUCGUGAGAGAAGGUGUGGAAAUGAUACAAUACAGUACUCCCAUACAAAAUUAUAAAAAAAUGAACAAAGGAUCUAGGGUUUUGAAAUCAGACAAACACAUCCUGCUUGUGUCACUUAGAAGCAAUGGGAAGAUUAACCUAUCUCUUAUGGUAUCAUUUUCCUCAUCUGCAGUGGAGAAGUGAAUACCCACUGACAAGUACUGUGUUUGGCAUGUGGUAUGCACUCUAUCACAAUGGAUAUUGUUCUAAUAUCCACUAGACUUUUUUGAAAUGAUAAUCUACAUAGUAUGUCUUCUAACCUCUCCUCUGCACACUAUAUCAUGCUAGAAGAAAAUCACUAAGGUUCCACCUUAUUGAAAGAAUGGGUCUUUGAGCUGCAAUCCAGGAACAGAAAGAACAUAUGUAGCUGUGUCUAAAAAUAACCUCUGUGGAAGCCCAUGAAUAGUCAGGUACUUAUUUCUGAGCUAAUCCUAUAUUAACCCCACUUCUUUCCAUACAUGGAUGGAUAUAGAGUACACAAAAUUGUCUUCAGCUCUUCUUCAUCACCUUAAAGCUCCCUCAACUUUUUAUCUGUACUCCAUAAUAGGCAUAAUUAUUUAUAAGAACAAAGGUGUAGAGUGUUCUCAACAUGUCCCAGACUUCAGAGAUCCAAUAAAUCCAAACUGAUGCUACCCAAAAUGUGGAAGUUAUAAAACACAUUUACAUAUUCCACUUUCCUCAUUGAAACCAUUUCCAUACUUUCCCCAUACUCCAGUGUGCCCUAGAAUGCUACUUUUUAGAAUUGUAUUUUGCAUCAGGACAAAUUAUACAAACAUUUAACUCAUACUUUUAGACCCUUGAAAAUGUUAAUAUAUUUUUUUCAUGUUAGAAGGACAUGUGCUUGAGAUUGAUGAACUAAAUUGUGUUCCUUCAAAAUUCACAUGUUGUAGCUCUAAUUACUAGCACCUCUUUUUGGUAUUUGAAGAUGAAGACUUUAUACACCCCAGUAAAUAAAAACAAAGCUGUUCAGUGAUCCCUCUUCUAGUCUAACAAAUGUCUUGUUUGAAGAGGCCAUUAUGACAUGCUGAGAGAGUUACUAGACAUGCAUGUACAUUGACCAAACCUCAUGAGGAGACAACAAGAGAGCAAUUAUGGGGAAAGCAAGGAGACAUUAGCCAGUAGAAAGCAAUGCUGCUGAUACCCUGAUCAGAACUCUAAGAAAAGAAUUUCAUCUGUUUAAGCCACAAAUUGUAUGGCAUUUAAUUACAGUUCCCUUAGCACAUUAAUAUAUACCCUAUGCAAUCAUUGAGCUAUGUGGUGGCAUAAGUAUAAAUUAUUGAUCUAAUUGAGGACAAAGUUGAACUCAAUGCCAUCUCAGCGGCAAGAUCCAUGUGAAGAUCAUCAAAUUCCUGUUAAAAUUGCAUGCUAGUCUUCUCUCUGUCUUGUCCCAACUCUUCCUCCCUGUUAUAGAUACUGUGACAGCACACCAAUAAAUUUCCUACAUGCACAUAUCCAUUACAACAUUCAUUUCUGGAAGAUAUUCUUUUUGUUCUUUUCCUCCAACUUUUAUUUUUUUUCUUUUUGGGAAUGAGAAACAAGAUUGUUUUACAUGUCAAUCCCAGUUCCCACUCCCUCCCUUCCUCCCCUCCCACCCCCACCCAACUAAAACCCUACCUAUCACAUAUCCUUUCUGCUCCCCAGGGAGGGUUAGGCCUUCUGGAAGACAUUCCUAUGAGAGACAAGUUAACUAGAUAAGGAGUGCAUAGAAUAGAGUGAGCAUUUAGCAUAUGAGCAAUUGCUUUCAAUGCCAGGUGUAGGUCAAUCAUUCCAGGAUUUUAAACAUGAAGAAUUUAUAAAUAAUCAACUAACCAAUUCAUUAAUAUAAUAUUGUUUGCAUGAAUUAAUUUUACUGUAUCCUAUCUCUCUAAAAUGACAUAGAGGUGAGGUUUCAGAAUCAGAUUUAGUUUGAUAAAGAAAUAAUGUGGAGAAGCACCCAUGGCAUCCCCCGUCUUGACAAGGAGAAAAGGAAAGGUGUCAUGCCCACUCACUCACACAAAUCCCCUUUAUUCUAUUUUAACUUAAAAUAGAGUGAUCUUAAUUGUAGAGCAGUAUGAAUUAAUGUUUUAUGGUGAAUAACUAGUUUUACACACUAUACCAAUUUUCCUGUUUUAUCUCUUGUCAGUUCUAACAUGGUUUAUUGACUAGCAUUGACCAGAAUUACCAAAAAUAUACUAAAGAUAUUUGACAAAUAUAAACAUUGCUUACAGGUACAAUUUUUAAUCAAAUUUAAUUCGUUUAUAUAUACAUAGUACAAUCAAUAAGACUCAGAGAAAACAAAUGUGAAAAAGCUUAUUUAUUGGAAAUUUAUUUACAUCUGUUAUUUCUGUUCUCUUUUGUGGCUCAAGAAAGACAAAAGGCAGAAGAAAGGGCAGGAUUGAAGUAUGUUUUUGUGAAGAAGAAUAAUUUGAUGAUAAUUCUUUCUGUAUUUUAUAAAUAAGAAGGUCAUUUAAAAGAUUUGUCUAGACACGUGCUUGAAGAAACAGAAAAGGCUACAGGAAUCUGAUGGCUUUAAAUCUUCAAAAAAACUUUUGACAUCUUCAAUUCACAUCCCCACAUGAAUCUGUCUGCAGUCUCAAGAGCAUGACCUCCUGGAACCUCUUUAUGAGAGCAAGAGAACCUGUUCAAGUGUCACAGAAGACAUUAACAUUCUAUUCUUGCUAUCAAAGACAAAAUAUAUGGGGUCACCAGAGUUGUUACAGUCGCAUCAUCACAGCAGAGAGAAUGCACACCAAUGAGAACAGCAAGCAGAUUCUGUACCUCAUGCUGACAAAGGUUUCCUUAACCAGCUUAAGAUUCUCAAGAGCCUUGUCCUUGUCUUUCUGUGACAUUCAAUGGAUCAUUUACUUCAGCAGACUCUUAAGCUGUCACAGCCAGAAUGUCCUGUUCUCCUGAAAAAUCAUCAGCUUUGAUAUCUGAAUCGUUUCCUGCCCCCCCCGAAACAAUGUCCCAGGUGAUCCAACAUCUAAAACAGCAGAGAUGAUGCAGCCUUGCAGACUACAAAAACAAGGACCUGGCCAGAUUUCUGUGUUUUAUCAUGAUCCCCAUGGUAAGGACAUUGCUCCCAACCAGCAUGAAGCAGUUUAGAAUGAAUGAUGCCCAAAUUCCCAAAUAUUGUUUAUAAAUGUUUGUUUUCAUUUAAAUGGGGUUGGUUAUAAAUG